UACGUAGGGACCAAGCGUUGUUCGGAUUUACUGGGCGUAAAGGGCGCGUAGGCGGCAAUUCAAGUCCGCUGUGAAAUCUCCGGGCUUAACUCGGAACGGUCAGCUGAUACUGCUUCGCUAGAGUGCAGAAGGGGCAAUCGGAAUUCCUGGUGUAGCGGUGAAAUGCGUAGAUAUCAAGAGGAACACCUGAGGCGAAGACGGGUUGCUGGGCUGACACUGACGCUGAGGCGCGAAAGCGAGGGGAGCAAACGGG
rnacentral:rRNA from 1 species